rnacentral:rRNA from 1 species
GACGAACGCUGGCGGCGUGCUUAACACAUGCAAGUCGAGCGGAAAGGCCCUGCUUUUGUGGGGUGCUCGAGUGGCGAACGGGUGAGUAACACGUGAGUAACCUGCCCUUGACUUUGGGAUAACUUCAGGAAACUGGGGCUAAUACCGGAUAGGAGCUCCUGCUGCAUGGUGGGGGUCGGAAAGUUUCGGCGGUUGGGGAUGGACUCGCGGCUUAUCAGCUUGUUGGUGGGGUAGUGGCUUACCAAGGCUUUGACGGGUAGCCGGCCUGAGAGGGUGACCGGCCACAUUGGGACUGAGAUACGGCCCAGACUCCUACGGGAGGCAGCAGUGGGGAAUAUUGCACAAUGGGCGGAAGCCUGAUGCAGCAACGCCGCGUGCGGGAUGACGGCCUUCGGGUUGUAAACCGCUUUCGCCUGUGACGAAGCGUGAGUGACGGUAAUGGGUAAAGAAGCACCGGCUAACUACGUG